rnacentral:rRNA from 1 species
CAUGUAGGCGGAUAUGUUAGUCAGAUGUCAAAUCUUCGAGCUUAACUCGAAAACUGCAUUUGAAACGGCAUAUCUUGAGAAAGUGAGAGACCAGUGGAACAUAUGGUGUAGCAGUGAAAUGCGUUGAUAUCAUAUGGAACACCCAAGGCGAAGGCAUCUGGUUGGCACUUUUCUGACGCUGAGAUGCGAAAGCGUGGGUAAGCGAAAA